rnacentral:rRNA from 1 species
GGGCGGAGCGAGCGUUGUUCGGAAUUAUUGGGUGUAAAGGGUGCGCAGGCGGUCGAAUAAGUCGGAAGUGAAAUGUCCACGGCUCAACCGGGAACCUGCUUCCGAUACUGCUCGACUUGAGUACGGGAGGGGAGCGUGGAAUUCCAGGUGUAGCGGUGAAAUGCGUAGAUAUCUGGAGGAACACCCGUGGCGAAGGCGACGCUCUGGCCCGUAACUGACGCUCAUGCACGAAAGCCAGGGGAGCGAACGGGGAUUAGAUACCCCGGUAGUCCUGGCUGUAAACGUUGGGCGCUAGGUGUGGGGGUAGUCGACCCCCCCUCCCGUGCCGUAGCUAACGCAUUAAGCGCCUCACCUGGGGAGUACGACCGCAAGGUUG